rnacentral:rRNA from 1 species
GCUCCUACGGGGCGCAGCAGUAGGGAAUAUUGCUCAAUGGGGGAAACCCUGAAGCAGCAACGCCGCGUGGAGGAUGAAGGUUUUCGGAUUGUAAACUCCUUUUGUUAGAGAAGAUAAUGACGGUAUCUAACGAAUAAGCACCGGCUAACUCCGUGCCAGCAGCCGCGGUAAUACGGAGGGUGCAAGCGUUACUCGGAAUCACUGGGCGUAAAGAGCGCGUAGGCGGGAUAGCAAGUCAGAUGUGAAAAUCCGGGGCCCAACCCCGGAACUGCAUUGGAAACUGUUUAUCUAGAGUGUCGGAGAGG